rnacentral:rRNA from 1 species
AACGAACGCUGGCGGCAGGCUUAACACAUGCAAGUCGAACGGGUGUAGCAAUACAUCAGUGGCAGACGGGUGAGUAACACGUGGGAACCUUCCUAGGGGGUACGGAACAACUCAGGGAAACUUGAGCUAAUACCGUAUACGUCCGUAAGGAGAAAGAUUCAUCGCCCCUAGACGGGCCCGCGUCGGAUUAGGUAGUUGGUGGGGUAACGGCCUACCAAGCCUACGAUCCGUAGCUGAUCUGAGAGGAUGAUCAGCCACACUGGGACUGAGACACGGCCCAGACUCCUACGGGAGGCAGCAGUGGGGAAUCUUGGACAAUGGGCGCAAGCCUGAUCCAGCCAUGCCGCGUGAGUGAAGAAGGCCUUAGGGUUGU